rnacentral:rRNA from 1 species
GAUGAACGCUGGCGGCGUGCCUAAUACAUGCAAGUCGAGCGAACAGACGAGGAGCUUGCUCCUCUGACGUUAGCGGCGGACGGGUGAGUAACACGUGGAUAACCUACCUAUAAGACUGGGAUAACUUCGGGAAACCGGAGCUAAUACCGGAUAAUAUAUUGAACCGCAUGGUUCAAUAGUGAAAGACGGUUUUGCUGUCACUUAUAGAUGGAUCCGCGCCGCAUUAGCUAGUUGGUAAGGUAACGGCUUACCAAGGCAACGAUGCGUAGCCGACCUGAGAGGCUGAUCGGCCACACUGGAACUGAGACACGGUCCAGACUCCUACGGGAGGCAGCAGUAGGGAAUCUUCCGCAAUGGGCGAAAGCCUGACGGAGCAACGCCGCGUGAGUGAUGAAGGUCUUCGGAUCGUAAAACUCUGUUAUUAGGGAAGAACAAAUGUGUAAGUAACUAUGCACAUCUUGACGGUACCUAAUCAGAAAGCCACGGCUAACUACGUG